rnacentral:tRNA from 1 species
AAAAACUUAGGAUAAAUAAACCAAGGGCCUUCAAAGCCCUAAAUAAGGGCCACGCUCCCUUAGUUUUUG